rnacentral:rRNA from 1 species
GUGUCAGCCGCCGCGGUAAUACAGAGGGUGCGAGCGUUAAUCGGAGUUACUGGGCGUAAAGGGCGCGUAGGCGGUUAGUUAAGAUUGUUGUGAAAUCCCUGGGCUUAACCUAGGAACUGCAACGAUGACUGGCUAGCUGGAGUACUGUAGAGGGUAGUGGAAUUUCCGGUGUAGCGGUGAAAUGCGUAGAGAUCGGAAGGAACACCAGUGGCGAAGGCGGCUACCUGGACAGAUACUGACGCUGAGGCGCGAGAGCGUGGGGAGCAAACAGGAUUAGAUACCCUGGUAGUCCACGCUGUAAACGAUGAAGACUAGAUGUUGGGCAGCAAGACUGUUUAGUAUCGAAGCUAACGCGAUAAGUCUUCCGCCUGGGGAGUACGACCGCAAGGUUAAAACUCAAAGGAAUUGACGG